AGAGUUUGAUCCUGGCUCAGAGCGAACGCUGGCGGCAGGCUUAACACAUGCAAGUCGAGCGGGCGUAGCAAUACGUCAGCGGCAGACGGGUGAGUAACGCGUGGGAACGUACCUUUUGGUUCGGAACAACACAGGGAAACUUGUGCUAAUACCGGAUAAGCCCUUACGGGGAAAGAUUUAUCGCCGAAAGAUCGGCCCGCGUCUGAUUAGCUAGUUGGUGAGGUAAUGGCUCACCAAGGCGACGAUCAGUAGCUGGUCUGAGAGGAUGAUCAGCCACAUUGGGACUGAGACACGGCCCAAACUCCUACGGGAGGCAGCAGUGGGGAAUAUUGGACAAUGGGCGCAAGCCUGAUCCAGCCAUGCCGCGUGAGUGAUGAAGGCCCUAGGGUUGUAAAGCUCUUUUGUGCGGGAAGAUAAUGACGGUACCGCAAGAAUAAGCCCCGGCUAACUUCGUGCCAGCAGCCGCGGUAAUACGAAGGGGGCUAGCGUUGCUCGGAAUCACUGGGCGUAAAGGGUGCGUAGGCGGGUCUUUAAGUCAGGGGUGAAAUCCUGGAGCUCAACUCCAGAACUGCCUUUGAUACUGAGGAUCUUGAGUUCGGGAGAGGUGAGUGGAACUGCGAGUGUAGAGGUGAAAUUCGUAGAUAUUCGCAAGAACACCAGUGGCGAAGGCGGCUCACUGGCCCGAUACUGACGCUGAGGCACGAAAGCGUGGGGAGCAAACAGGAUUAGAUACCCUAGUAGUCC
rnacentral:rRNA from 1 species